UAAGUACUCCCUCCGCCCAAAAAUACUUGUCGGAGAAAUGGAUAAAAAAGGAUGUAUCUAGAACUAAAGUACGUUUAAAUACAUCCAUUUUUCCAACAAGCAUUUUUGGACGGAGGGAGUAGUAU
rfam:Triticum aestivum genome assembly, contig: Triticum_aestivum_CS42_TGACv1_scaffold_222190_3B